rnacentral:rRNA from 1 species
GAAUCUUCCACAAUGGACGAAAGUCUGAUGGAGCAAUGCCGCGUGAGUGAAGAAGGUUUUCGGAUCGUAAAACUCUGUUGUGAGGGAAGAACAAGUAUGAGAGUAACUGCUCGUACCUUGACGGUACCUCAUUAGAAAGCCACGGCUAACUACGUGCCAGCAGCCGCGGUAAUACGUAGGUGGCAAGCGUUGUCCGGAAUUAUUGGGCGUAAAGCGCGCGCAGGCGGUCCUUUAAGUCUGAUGUGAAAUCCCACGGCUCAACCGUGGAAGGUCAUUGGAAACUGGGGAACUUGAAUGCAGAAGAGGAGAGUGGAAUUCCAUGUGUAGCGGUGAAAUGCGUAGAUAUAUGGAGGAACACCAGUGGCGAAGGCGACUCUCUGGUCUGUUAUUGACACUGAGGCUCGAAAGCGUGGGGAGCAAACA